UUUCCGUAGGUGAACCUGCGGAAGGAUCAUUAACACGUAUCCAUUACCAACCACAACGAACUGUUAUGUCUUUUCUCAACCUCUACCUUUCACGAGGUAGGGGUGGGAAUAUAUACCUUGUGUAUAUGUUCCCUUUGUUUAUCAACCCCUUUCUAUGUAUGACUGAAACUUAGCGUGUCAGUAACAUGACCGCAUCAUUCAAUCUAAAACAACUUUCAGCCACGGAUGUCUUGGUUCCC
rnacentral:misc_RNA from 1 species